AUUGGUUUCCUGCACAGCACCCGCUGAAGGCAGGCCCUUCCGGCUACCCCGAGAAAAGGGGAAUCUGGCAGGCGAGUGCGGCGCAGCUGGCCAGUCCCUGUCGCCCGCCUGGCAGUACAGAGACCUUUUUUUUAAAUUAUUUUUUAAAUUUCGACUUUGAUAAACUCUAAGUAGCCACGCUAUUUUAAUGUCAGCCGUUUUACUUUGACCUUAUUCCUUGUAUCCAGCCCCAUAAUUGGUCAGAAUCGUCUAGUGAGCUGGUAGUUUCCUCUUGCAACAUUCCGAAUCACUGGUAGUUUCCACCUAUUUGUAAAAGCCCGAGCAAGUUUCAAAAGUGCAGUAUUACUCACUACUUAAAAAAAAAGUCCAGAAGAUGUGAGCAAAAGCAUGCAAGAGUGCAGCUCCAUUAGAGGGAACUGGAAAUGCAAAGGACGACGUUUCACCACAACCACCGCCUUCCAGGCUCAAGCGAUUCUCCUGCCUCAGCCUCUCCAGUAGCUGGGAUUACAGGCAUGCGCCACCACGCGCGGCUAAUUUUGUAUUUUUAGUAGAGACGGGGUGUCUCCAUGUCGGUCAGGCUGGUCUCCCACUCCUGACCUCAGGUGAUCCGCCCACCUCGGCCUGCCAAAGUACCGCGAUUACAGGCGUGAGCCGCCGCGCCGGACCAAAAACAGUCCUUUAGGUAAAACUGAGUUACUCAACAAAACCAAACCAAGACAAAUUAUGCCCCAUUAUUAAAACUAAUAGGCAAAGGGGAGUAGAGGGACUGGAGCAAUCAAACAGUGUUAGUACUAAAACUAGAUAGUGUGAUGCCAAAGGAUAUCAGGAACUCUAGAUAUGGGCACUCUAAUUGCUAAAAGGUUAAGCAGGAGGUGGCAGGAGGCUGCACAUUGAGAUACACCAUCAGUAGUUCAAACAUUCGUUACUCUAGCUUUUUACUAGGGCUCAUGAGGUUUUAUUUUAAAAUCAAGAGAAAACAACAAUCAAAUAUGUCUUCAUACAAACGCAGCAGAAAAAUACAAAUCCUAAUGUUUUAAAUGGAGAAAGUGGGCCACCAAGGCAAAAGUGCCAUAAUGCAGUCCUGCUUUUUUUUUUUUAGCAUUCAAACAAAUUUUACACCAGAACUAAACUAUUUCUUAAUAGAAAAAAUAGUAACUAGGAGCACUACAUUCUGUGUACAUACUUUUCUUUAGUAUGUAAUCUAAAAAUUUAAUAGCACAUAAAAAACUGGGCUAACUUUCAAAAAUACCCCUAAAGUAUUUAAGUAUAUGUAAAAUAAUGGAGUCUGAUUCUGAACAAAUAAUUUUCUAAUAAAAAUUUCAAAGUUCAAUGGUUCCCCUAAGUCUUAAAGAAUAUUAUCUACAAAUUAUCAGUAGCAUUCCCUCCUUUUCUGAGCUGCUGUCCACACUAUUAUACAACAGAAACUACUGCACCGCAAUCACAUGGGCAGGAAGAGGCAAGGGCUAGACAGAAAAGACUGCAUCAAACUCACGUGGUGAGAUAAAAGUCAUUAUUUCACUGUCCAUAAUAGUUUCUGCCUAGUAGUGAACUCUCACAUAGUGGCCAAUUAUACGAAGAUCAACCCACUAAUUGAACAUAGUCACACACACACACUGAAGGUUACUAUGAAGAAAUUCAGUCAAAAGCAGACACUUAACACAGGGCUUUAAUGUAACACCAUUUAGUAACAUGACAAAUUGAAAAGUGAGGAGUACUUUGUGGAUAAGAAAAUGGAGGAACACAUCUGAUGGAGAGUGGGCAUUUGACAACAAUGGAACAGGUAACCAGCAUGUAAAAUCAAAAUAUAAGUGUCUUUUUAAGAGCUGAAAGCUGCUGCUGGUCAUUCAUUAAUGUGUCAGACAUUUAAUCAGGAUGCUGGACCUUCAAAAUAACUGAAAAAAGAACCAAGAAAAGGCGUUUUUGUUUUCAACAAACUUUACUAAAUAACCCUGGAAAGGCAAUGAACGAUCUGACAAUUUAAGCUCUAAUGAUUUAAAGCUCAGCUAGAAGAAAGUGAGGCAUGACAUAUACUGUCAACGGAGGGUGAAGGAGGCAGAUUUCUGGAAAUGCAAUGAUCCCACACAUUUGCUUCAAGGAGAAACCUGCAGACAUAUUUUCAGGUCUUGCUAAGUAACAACUGUUUAUUUGUAAUCAAUACAUUUGGGAAAGUCUGCUAUGUAGCUAAGGUCACUGUGACCACAGAACAACAGAUGAAAAGGAAAAAGCACUGAACAGCAAGAAAAAUACAUCCCAUCCUCAAAAGAAUUUAAGUGAACAAACUUUAAAAAGAAAAAAAAAUAGAUACAGCCUUCAUCUUUUACAAAUAUAUUUCCUUCCCAAUAUCUUCCCAAUAUAAACACUGUGGAGUGUUUAUAUAUUCAGUGCAAGAAACAGUAUCAUCGGUACAUUUGAAAGCCUCUAAAGAACAACUGAAGCUAAAAUAAUAUCUAACUCUGAAUACGUUUCAGUGUAGAGUAAUAAUAACAUUAUUACACUAUAGUGGUGUGGGAGAGGCUCUGAUAGCACCCAUCUGCAUCCCGCAUGAAAAAACAAACCUAAGAUCACUUUUUUAAAAAUUCUACAAGCCACGUUAAAAAAAAAUUUGAACAGGACUGCUUUAUUGUGUAAUUUAUGACACAACUGUUACAUGAAUUGCAAAUGAAGGCUUAAAAUAUAUAGCAGCUACAAAAAAAAUCAGAUAACUCAUGCUUCAUGUCACUCCUCCCACAAAUACUUCUAGUCUGUUCAACUGCAGUCAAUUCUGUAUUGGUUUGCCUGUGAAUUAGACUUCUCAAGUCUUUACACAGAGUAAAAGAAAUGGAUAAAAAUCAAAGUAUUUUUCUGUACUUUGUAUCAAUGUAUUCUAUUCUGUACUUUGACCCUGGAAAGGUAUGGGUCUGCUUAAAAGAAAGAAGAAACAUACACGUAAUCACAAUAAAGCUUAACAUUAUGCAGGGCUUAUAAUCAUUUUCAGCAACGGACUGCAAGCUGCACUGUGAAGAAAAUGCAUAGCAGAGGAGAAAGCUGGGGAUCUGAGGAAAUAGGUAAGGAAAACAGUGUCAACACACAGUGGAAGAAGUGAUGAAGACAUCUAUUCCGGAGCUCACGUGCCAUGCCCUGCUAGCAUUCCUUAACAAGCCACCUGCUCCAGAAGGCCACAGCCUGACCCUCCCAAGUGGAAUAUAAAUGCCCAAGUGCCACAUGAAGCCACCUCCUCCACUACCUAAAAAGCUGUCUGGGAACUGAGCUACAGAACACACACACUUUCUGGUCUAACAAACAUCAAGUGAAAGAAUUUUUUCUUAUAUAUCUAUUUUUAAUACAACUUAAACGCAACUUUUAUAUGAAUUUGGGCUUCUAUUCAGUCCCUCUCCUCAAUUUCCUUAGGAGGAACUCAAUAAUGGAAGCAAACAAAACAAGAUUCUAACCACAAAUGACUGCACUUUAAACGUAAUUAUCAAUUUUGAGGGACAGAGGUGUGAAUGUUUUACAAUACCAAACUUUAAAAAAAAUCUAUUAUAAAAACUGCAACUCAUCUCCCUAACAUUUUUAAAUGGUGGUAUUAUGUUUGCACAAACAGAUUAAUACAUUAAAUUAAGCCAAGAUCUUAAAGACUGGCAAAGUUCUAUCAUUCUAUUUUAAAAACAAAGAUGUUAAAAAAAAAAAAGUUAGUUUGCUUCAUGUUACAUUUCACAACCAUUAUGUUAAAUGUUUUCUUUUCUACAGAAACAGGGUCCUUUAUAUCACAACUGCAAGUAUUUACUGCUAGAUGUUUAAAGUUACACAGACUAGUGUUCAACUGGAGCCUGCUGAUGGUGAUGUCUUGAAGUUUUCUGAAUGUCAACCUAAGGUGUGCCAGGUCCUCUCCUAGGACCACUCUUGCAGGGGAGGAGGGAGAAGAAAUCACAGAUCAAGCUCUUAAGAUUGUUUCACUCUCUUCGUGGCUUUCUGUUUCUUGGUGAUCUGUUCAAAAUUUCAUCCUCCUAUUGAUUGAAAAGAAAUUCAUUAUAAUUAGCACAUUUAAAAAAUAAUAAAAGUUCACCAUAUUUUCAAGAUCAGCCAGACUGAGGGUAACUUAUUUGAGGAAAAAAAUGAGGAAAAUGAUGAGAAGAAAAUGCACCAAGAAGAAUGGUUGUCUCAGAGGUGGUGGAAUUAUGCCUACUCUAAUUCAGUUUAGUCUUUAUUGUUUUCUAUAAACAUACACUUUUCUCAAUCUAACCCAUAAACAUUUUCUUAAAAAAGGAUCAGACACUGUGAUUUCUUAAUCUUGCUUAAUCCCAAACAAUCUACUGGCCUAUGGCACACUAGCCCCAUUCUGAGGAUAAGAAACCAAGGAUUCAUGAAGAUGGAAGGCUAUCCAAGUAGACUGACUCCAAGGCUGCUGCUCUGUACUCUAUCACAAGUUGCUAAGAUUGUAAAUUACCCUAUGAAAAUAUUCCCUUUUUUUAAAUGCACCAGCAACUUUUUAACGUGUGAGGGAGUUUGGG
rnacentral:lncRNA from 10 species